rnacentral:misc_RNA from 1 species
GAAAAAAGUAAAGUACAUAUGUGACUCUUUUAUCCAAUCUGAUAAAAGCUAUAAAGACGAGUAGCGUGAACCAGUGUCAUAGACGAGACCACCUAGUCAAAGCAAACUAAACGAAAGAUUCAAUACUAUUCUAAGCAGUUAUUCAAUAAUAGCGUGAACCAGUUUCAUAGACGCGACCGCCUGGGUAUUGUACUCUAGGUUCAUAUCCGUGAUCUCUUCCGCUGUUGCCAAGAUAUCGAGCAUUCUCCCUGUAAGAGUCGUAACUAUCAGCAUUAUAGGCUGCUUGUCGUUCUCCUGCUGGAGAGU